ensembl:lncRNA
GUCAAAUUUCAGUGAUCGGAAAUGUCUUGCCCAAAAGCAAUUCCCGCUGGAAAAAGUCAAAAGGGUUCCUGGCAUUAAAAAGACCUUGCGUCAUUCCUGAUGAAAUUAGCAGCGUCGCAUGUUUAGGGACUGCUAUGGAUGCACUUUGGUCAAAGUGAAGAGGCAGGGAUUUGGGGUUUAAGCCCCCGUCUGGUCAGUAGCCGUCUGCUUUCACUGGCUGCGAACCCCGGGACCAGCACUUGAAAGCAUCUCAGACCCGCAGUCCAUUUUUUACUUGUCUUUAAGUGCAUGCGAUGGGAAUUGCUAACCUCGGCUAAGGAAAUUUCAUUUCCCCUAUCCUGCUAAACGGUUCUGGUCGACAUAUGUUUGUUAUCAGAGAGAAGUGCUAUGAACACAGAGCCAUUUUCUUAGCAGCUCUUUGACUCUGCGUUACCAUAGUCCCACACGGCAUUGGUCCUUUCCCGUUGGGAAGUCAUGAAUAAGAGACUAUGAGGCUUGCACGUCAGAUCUUCCUCAAUUAAUCCACCAUUAGCAUGUUUGGGAUCCUCUACUGGAUGGUUAACAGCAGCUUUGGUAACUGUAUGCUGUCCAUACCCAAUUAUGCUCUGCUAAAAAUGAACUCUGCAGAACAACCUUCCUGAGCUGUCAGUGUCUCCCGUUUUCCUAUUUUAACGCUUGUGUGUAGUGGCAGGCGACAGAUGGUGUAGAUCAGAUCGAUUUGAUUGCAUUAGACGAUUUUUUUUCCCUCCUCUCCCCCCCGACUCCUUUUCUGGAAGCCCACAUUCAGCUGAGAGGCGACCGCCGGGGACACGGGAAGCGAGAGCAGCCGCCGAGGUGCGAAUGCAGCGAGCCGCGGCCGUGGAGGCGCCGGGUCCUGCCCGGGUGGAUCCGUGCUAAUCCGGCGCCGGGAGGGAGCAGCUUCUGCCUCCCGGAGCCCGUCCCCAGCGCACGUCAGAUGACUCCCCGGUUUUACACACGGUUGGAGUUCUGCUCGAAACCUGGAUUUAAAGGGAAUCUGUUGCCGUGUGUGACAUCUCUUGCGAGCUCCCAGAGAGAACUGAUGGAGCAUACAGCUAGGGAAUAGGAUGCUGGAGAAGCUCAGGGGGAGACGCCAGGCAAUCACCAGGACGGGGAGGAACGGCGCUCGUUGGAUAUGGGACGAGAUCUCGCAGCCCUUGUGGAUUCUCCUUCCUCUAGAGGGGAAUUAUAGUUAUGGAUUUAUUGUCCCGGUGCAGCACUUCCACCAGCGGCAGCAGCAACAGCAGCAGCUUUCUGACUCUCUUCGGUGACGGGUAUUCUUGGGUGGAUAAUACGGAUUACGUUGUUAUUGCUUAAGAAUACGCGUAGUCGAGGAGAGUACCGGCGGCGGGCAGGCAGGCAGGCAGCGCGACCGCCCCCAGCCCUCCAGCUGGCUCCUACAGCCUCUAGUUGCCAAGGUGAGCCCCAGACCUGCCCGUGGUCAGCACUCUCUGACUUCGGCCCCACCAUGUAGAUGGAGCAACGUCCUGUGUGCCCGGCUGCUGCAUGGAGCUGCCCAUGUGCUGGCACCCUGACCCAGCAGAGAUGCUGCCAGUGCCGGCUCCACCCUGCUCGCUGCUGCCUGCCCACCUGUCUCCUUCCCCCAAGCCAUGGCCCACACCACCACCACCACCGGCAUCUCCGUCGCUACCCACAGCACAAAUGCAACAUGGAACAGCGAGUGUGGCUUGAGCAGGCUGAGCUUGUUAAAAUUGCAGUUAAAUAAAUUGUAGGGCUGUAAUACUGGGAGGCUGAUUGGGAUCACAAGAUAUCGGUGUCAUAUCCUGUGGCUUUUAUGUAGUGAGAUGUAGAUUUUUGCCAUCACCAUCUGGCUAUCCAACAGAUAACAACCAGAGAAAAUGGACUUGCAAAUCUCCAGUUGUGAAUAACUGAUAUAUUGUUGCCAGUAAAACGAGGACCUGGUAAACUGCCAGAAGGAAAAGUUUUUUUGAGUAUGAUCAGACUUUUAAUAUGUGUCAGCUUUUGCCUAUGUGUAAAUUAAAGAAACUCCCUAAUUACCAUACAUUUUAAACAGUGUGUCUAGAGAACUCUGGUCCUGUAGAACCCAGAUGUGGCUAUGUUAUCAGCUUCAAAUUCAGGCAAGUAAAUAAAGUAGCAAAUGUACGACUCAACUGGUGUAUCUGCACAGUACAGAUCAUCUAGGUGUGGGUUAAAUGCUAUGAGGAAAGAACAAGAAAUAAGCAAAAAAUACAGUAGUGUAGAAUAUGCAUGUUCUUAACUUCUAGAAAAUCUCAACAGCUGGAAUUUUAGAAUGUGAUAUUUAGACAAAUGUAAAGAGAGAAACAGUGUGUUUUUCUCUGGAGAAAAAUGUAAUAGGUGUACAGAUCAAAUUAUAACACUUAGUCCUUCUAGGACAAAUUCCAGUUGGGGAUCGUGAAGUAAUCUGAAAAUAUUAAUGAUUUAGCCUCACAGCUAGAUUUCAGGUAGAUAAUAAUAAUUAUUGCUACAAAUAAUUUCCUUCAUUCUUGCUCUGAAAUGAAAAUUGAGGCAUAGAGGUUUUAUGUAUUUGUCCAAAGUCCAUUUUACUGCUGUAACCAUCCUUCUAUAGAUUUACUUCGUAUUAAGUAUGCCCUUUUCCAAAUAUUGUAUGUGAUAUACUAUUCAGUUCAUGAAUUCUAAAAAACAAGCAGCUGAUCUUCCUUAUGAAGCAGUGCCUGUGAACAUCUCCAUUUGCAUUUGAAUCCUCAAGCAGUGACAAUCCUGCUUAAAAAAAAAAAAGAAAAAGAAAAAGGGAAUGAUGAAAAUCAGAACAAAAUCUGUCAAGGGCCCAUCUGUGACUGCAUAUCAGAAUAUCACUAAGAUGCUCUGAGGAACAAAGUUGUCUCCAAGUCUAACACAUAGUGCUUUUGUCUACGGAAAUAAUUCAAGAUGGGUGAAAUGAGGGCAAAUAACAUGAAAAACUGUUUCCCUACUGAACAGUCCUGGAAAGCAGCACCUUUGUUUCAUGGAUAAUCUUGUUUGUGAUACACGUACCAGUGCUUAGAUACUAAAGGUUUUACAUGACGAAAUACUCAGCAUGCCCAUAUCUGCUUCAGAUAAGCAUGCAUAGCUGUUGCUUCCAGUCAAGAGUCAGGGAGCCAGGGGUCUUUGGCCCUGGCAGGUGAGAACUUGGGUUAGGUAUGUCUGUGGCAAGCUUUCAUAGCCUGCUACCUGAAGCACUGGGGAAACAAAAGGAUAGACUCCACCCUGGACUUAACAAUACUCUUGAAACCACAUCUAUUUCCUUCUAAAUAGGAACACAUAAAGUUAGGAAAACCUAUUUGUAAGCUAUUUAUAUGUCCUCUUCAGGAUCUGAAUUCCUGCAAGCCUUAGUCAUAGCUCUUUGCUCUCACAUAUGCAAUAUCUGGAACUGACAACUGGAAAUAGGAGAAACAUGGCAUUAAUGUUGUUCUAAUGCACUGUGGGUUUUUUUUCCUUCUAUUUCUUAACUGUUACAGUAUGCAAAUAUUUAGUUAACUGGUCCUCAUGGUUUCUUUUUAUUGAAUUGCUUUCACUAUGGCAAAUAAAUAUUCAUAAAGAAAUGUGGACAAUAAAUCAUUUCCAAUAGUUCAAACCAUUUUCUUUCUAGACUGCAUAUAUAUUCAGCUGUGACUUGCCUUUAAUAUUUAAUUCAAAAGACAGACUUGUAGAAGGACAAUAGAGAUAAUGUGUCAAGCAAUAAUUAAAACAGGGGGUAUGAUUAAAACCAUUUUGAUCUACACUGUGCUCUGUCAAACUCAUAAUCUGCCAUGUUUGCUUAGAUGAUUCUCCACUUGCUUUGUAUGGAACCCAAAAUAAACUUUUGUUUGAAGAUACUGCACAGAACAAAAGAUUUCAACCCUAAGCUUUUGGGACCUGGAGACCUUCCCUGCUCUGGGCUUUGGGUAUGUCUUCUCUAUCAUCCUCACAAGACAAAUCUCAGGCAGCCAUCAUCCCUCAAUUUAACAUGGUGACUUCCCUCGGAAGUAGGUCCAUAUACGUGGCACAAUACAACUAGGGGACAAUCCAAUGUAACCUGGUUCACCAUUUAGACUGAAGCUAAGAGCUCCAAAAGAAGUGCAAGUUAAAGAUACAGGGAGUUUAUACACUUGGGGACCCUGGUUCAAAUUCAAAUUCAAAUAAGAGUGAUAUUUCUUGUUUCACUGUGUGUUUUGGCCACCAAAAUACACCUUGUAUUUGUCCCAGCUUCAUUAUCUUUUCUGAUUUGUUGCUGAUUUUGGGCCAUAACUCAAUAGAGCACUUAUGUACAGACUUAAAGAAAUUGAUUUAAGAAAACACUACUCUGUUUAAUCCUGGGCAGACAUUCAACUUUGAAAUCAAUGGGACUUAUGAACAGCCCUGACCUUGGGGUCUAAAUGGUUGCUGAAUCAGUGCAUUGACAGAAACAUACUGGAAAAGAUAAUAUCCAUGUCUAAUCAGAAUGAUCGUCUCUACUUUCAUGGGAAAUUACCCAUAGAUAACACAUUAUUCUGCUCAAGAAAUCCAUUUUAUAGCAGUUAUUAGAAAACCUUAACACAUUUUCUGUUUGUCAGACAUACUAGGUGAACAGUGUCUCUCCUUGAUAGUGUAUCUGAACUAUACUUCAAAUGAAAAAAUAAAUUACAGGAAAAGUGCUGUCACAAGGGACCAUUUCUAAUUAUUUACUGAGUCUUUCCCAGUUGCCUGCUAUGUGCCAGACUUUUGGGAAACAUGUGGACAGAAGACAAAGCAGUGCGGUUCUGAAAUCCCACGGACUCAGUCAAAGACAAUAGCACAUGAAAUACCAUGUUAUGCAAUAUCACGUAAACAAAGCUAUCUCCUAAGAACUGCACUCACAAGGGAUGCCUGCCCAGUCUACAUAUAGAAUUCUAAGUGAACACAUUCUUAUUACACUGAGAAAAUGGUAAGAAUAAAAGGUGUUUGUUUCUGGUAUAAUAACGUACAGAUUGCACUACUUAAGUGCAACUGUGGCUGAAUCCACAUAGUUAAAAGAAGUAAGUAAAGUAGUUGAUGUUAUACUGCAUGAAAUAAAAAUCUUCUUGCCAUUCCUAAAAAUGUUUUACACAAGUCAUUUUUAUUAUAAUUAGAAGUUGGCAAACAGGAUAUCUUAGAUGCUGCUUAUAGAGCUGAAACGGGUUUAAGAGGGGAAAUAAAUUAUAAUGGGUUCUAUUACCUCAUCUAAUUCAGUAAAUGAUGAGCAUGAAGACCCUGAGAAGACAUGGAAAGCAUUAGUGAGUUUUACCUCUCUCUGCAACCCUGGACAGACACCAUGAUUCACAUGAUUCCACUGUUUCUAGGACAAAGCUUAGGAGUAAUACAUAAAAAAAACAGCUGUACUAUUUUAACUGGAUUCAUACUAGUGGAGACUCACAUGGCUACCCGUACCUAUCCUGAUGCUGCCUACUCUAGAGCUGAUGAGUCAGGAGUAUGCAGCUGCUGUAUUGCAUGCUCAUUGCUAACAAGCUCUCUAUACUGCCUGUAAGCCUCUGAGUCAACAUUCCAUUAAUCAAAGGGUAGAAUGUAAUGGGAAAGAACAGGAGGGUGGGAUUUGUCUUCCUAUAUAAUUCUUAAGUUACCAAAAAAAAAAAAAAAAAAAAAAAAAAUUAAAAAAAAAAUCAAAGCUUCUGCCCCUUUUUUCUCAUGUCAUCUACUUUACCCUCAGAGUAGGUGAGGUUAGAGCAAAUCUGCAUUCUAAACCAGGUGCUGCUUCUGAUUGUCUUCCCACAUAUAGUCAUGAAUUGGAGCUAACACCUGUUCUCAAUGAAAUCAGUAAGUACCUAGCAGGACCAACAAGCUUAUAGAGCUCAAGGUGAGGAACAGCUCUUUGUUUGCUUGAGGGCUUUUUCCACCAUGAAGGCUAUCUAGAAGGAGUAAUACAGGUAUAACAUGAUGUUAGGCCCUUCUUCAUUAGUUCUUCGGUUUCUGCUGGAAUCUCGCUGACUUGGAGCAAGCAUUGAUUUAGAGGUAAGUUUUACAACUGAGUUAGGAUCUGGGGUUUCAGAUUUUCAACUUUUGUGAUAUCUUUGAUGAUAACAUUGUAGUCAUGUUUCUGUAUGACUGCAUAUAGAUAAAUAGGUGUGUGUGUG